rnacentral:rRNA from 1 species
UACGAGGGGGGCGAGCGUUGUUCGGAAUUAUUGGGCGUAAAGGGUGCGUAGGCGGUUUGGUAAGUCUCGUGUGAAAUCUCCGGGCUCAACUCGGAGCCUGCACGAGAAACUGCCGGGCUUGAGUGUGGGAGAGGUGAGUGGAAUUCCUGGUGUAGCGGUGAAAUGCGUAGAUAUCAGGAGGAACACCUGUGGCGAAAGCGGGUCUCUGGGCCGAUACUGACGCUGAGGAGCGAAAGCGUGGGGAGCGAACAGG